UCAAAUUAGUUCUCGAAGUUUUUAUUUGGAAUUUUCUUUAUUUUCCUUAGUCAUUUUACUUUUAUAACAAUUAAGAAUUAUUAACCUUCAGGAUUUAUUUUUUCUCUGUAAUUUAGUGCUUUUCAUGCGUCCUUUACUUGAUGGGGGUGGUUUUCUUUCAUUUUUUGGAUUUUAUCGGCUGCCUUCCUAAUGGGCUGAGGCUGGCUAGGUUGUUUGUUAUUGGCUUCUUUGUGGACUGGGUUUGCAGGCUACUCCAGAGUCCAGACUUUGGAUUGGCUAACUCAAGCAGCUUGGGUGAGCUUCGUCAAAACAAAUAGCCUUUGAUUCCUCACCUUCUCUACUCCUUCUACCUGGCUUCACUUCAGCUGGCAUCUUUUUUGUUCAGUUUUUAGAGUUUUGAUGUUCGUUUAUCAGCCACUCUUCAUGUUACCCAUUGGUUUCUUCCUGGCUUUUGUCUUCUUAAAGACUCAAUGGUUCUGUGCUGGCUUGUCGGGGACGAGCAUUUGGUUCGUAUAAUUAGGUGACAGCUUCAGUUUAGAGCUUGGAGACAGCACACCAAUUGCAUCGUUCUUGGAUGAUGAGGCUGGAUCGUCAAACCAUGAUGGUUCGCCCCCUACAAAAAAAGGCACGCACAGCACAGCAAAUGUUGAGGCUCAAGCUAUUUUUCUUGCUGAGUAGACUGUCUAUAUUAUGGAUUUUCUUUUGCUGUUUUUAUUAAACCAUGUUGUAUAUCCCACUGUCGAGGGCUUGGGUUUUAUGCAAAGGAAUCGCACCACUGCCUUUGCCUGGCAAUUUUUCGA